CCGGAUUUAUUGGGUUUAAAGGGUGCGCAGGCGGACUAAUAAGUCAGUGUGAAAUUUACAUGCUUAACAUGUAUCGUGCCAUUGAUACUGUUAGACUAGUAUACAAAUGACGUAGCUGGAAUGUGUUAUGUAGCGGUGAAAUGCAUAGAUAUAACACAGAACACCGAUCGUGAAGACAGGUUACGAAUUUGUUAUAGACGCUCAGGCACGAAAGCGUGGGGAUCAAACAGGAUUAGAUAUCCUUGGUAGGUCACGCUGUAAACGAUGAUAACUUGUUGUUGGGCACGUAGUGCUCAGUGGCUAAGCGAAAGCGAUAAGUUAUCCACCUGGGGAGUACGAUCGCAAGGUUGAAACUCAAAGGAAUUGACGGGGGCCCGCACAAGCGGAGGAGCAUGUGGUUUAAUUCGAUGAUACGCGAGGAACCUUACCCGGGCUCGAACGUAUGUUGAAUAAUGUGGAAACAUGUUAGUCGUAAGACAACAUACGAGGUGCUGCAUGGUUGUCGUCAGCUCGUGCCGUGAGGUGUCAGGUUAAGUCCUAUAACGAGCGCAACCCUUACUUUCAGUUGCCAGCACGUAAUGGUGGGGACUCUGGAGGAACUGCCUACGCAAGUAGAGAGGAAGGUGGGGAUGACGUCAAAUCAGCACGGCCCUUAUGUUCGGGGCUACACACGUGCUACAAUGGUCGAUACAGAGGGCAGCUACUUGGCAACAAGAUGCGAAUCUCGAAAAUCGAUCUCAGUUCGGAUCGGAGGCUGUAACUCGCCUCCGUGAAGUUGGAUUCGCUAGUAAUCGCGCAUCAGC
rnacentral:rRNA from 1 species